rnacentral:rRNA from 1 species
AACGUAGGAGACAAACGUUAUCCGGAGUUACUGGGAGUAAAGAGCUCGUAGGCGGUCUGUCGCGUCUGCUGUGAAAACUCAGGGCUUAACCCUGAGCUUGCAGUGGGUACGGGCAGACUAGAGUGCGGUAGGGGAGACUGGAAUUCCUGGUGUAGCGGUGAAAUGCGCAGAUAUCAGGAGGAACACCGGUGGCGAAGGCGGGUCUCUGGGCCGUAACUGACGCUGAGGAGCGAAAGCAUGGGGAGCGAACAGG